GACGAACGCUGGCGGCGUGCUUAACACAUGCAAGUCGAACGAAAAGAGGGAAAGAGCUUGCUCUUUCCGGAAUUGAGUGGCAAACGGGUGAGUAACACGUAAACAACCUGCCUUCAGGAUGGGGACAACAGACGGAAACGACUGCUAAUACCGAAUAAGUUCCAAGAGCCGCAUGGCCCAUGGAAGAAAAGGUGGCCUCUACCUGUAAGCUAUCGCCUGAAGAGGGGUUUGCGUCUGAUUAGCUGGUUGGAAGGGUAACGGCCCACCAAGGCGACGAUCAGUAGCCGGUCUGAGAGGAUGAACGGCCACACUGGAACUGAGACACGGUCCAGACUCCUACGGGAGGCAGCAGUGGGGAAUCUUCCGCAAUGGGCGAAAGCCUGACGGAGCAACGCCGCGGGAGUGAUGACGGCCUUCGGGUUGUAAAACUCUGUGAUCCGGGACGAAAAGGCAGAGUGCGAAGAACAAACUGCAUUGACGGUACCGGAAAAGCAAGCCACGGCUAACUACGUG
rnacentral:rRNA from 1 species